CCGGAGGCGAAAAUACAACCACGGCCGCGUAACUAAAGGCACCCAAAUUACCAUCUUCGGUGCCUAUUGUCGGGAAACAAAAGAGGUGAUGUACUGGCGUGUGGACAACAAGAGCCGACGGGUUCUCUGGAGCCACAUGCUCAGAUACAUCGCCCCCGGUUCCAUCAUUGUUUCCGACAGCGCGGCCCAAUAUCGCGGUUUUACGACGAUGGGCUUCUCUGAAGAUAAGACCGUCAAUCACAGCCAGCGGGGCCCCGGGAGAUUCGUCGACGCCGAUGACCCCGAGGCCCACACUCAGAACAUCGAGUGCAGAAAUCGCUGGUUGAAGAAGUCCAUCAAGUCGCUCCGCACGGACAGGAGCCUGCAAAGCUACAACUGUACGUACUGUACGUGUACAGGACGCGGGUCCUGUCCCAGUUGCCAACAACAUCGGCAAAAUUCCGGCAGUUUCUCGGGGACAUCGCGGCCGCAUACCCGGGCCCCGGUCGUCAGGGUCUCCAACUCCGGACGAUCGGUGUGCCCGUGGAUCAACAUCUGCCGCCGGACGAGCCCUAUUUCGAUGU